rnacentral:misc_RNA from 1 species
AACUGAUGAAGAUGCCUUCUUCAAUUUUCGUUGUUUCUUUUUGGAAGCCUGGCCAAACGAAUCAGAUGUUCUUUUACAAGUUCCUUCCAAUUUAUCAUCCAACUGAAGCUUUUCACUGACUGAAGACUUGCAUUCUCUCCCUUUUUCAGCAUAGCCGUUAUGCCCGCUUAUAAACUUCCGUUUCUUCUCGCCACGAGCAUCCUCACUUGUCACAUCAACUUUCCUCUUCUUCUUCCCCAAAUUCAGCGUCUUACUUUUUUUAUCACGAACUUUCCAAACGUUCUUCUUUCUGAAAAGCAAUUUCUCAAAUUUCCACGGUGCACAGCUCGUAUCUAUCACCAUUACUUCAGUCCGUGAAAAUCCCAUCAAAUUGGCGUUGGACUUGUCCUCCUCUUCCGCUAAGUUCAAAUUAUGGCCCUCCUCUAAUAGCUUGACCUGAGAAUCCUUAAUUUCCACCCGACAUUUGUCCAGCGACUCAGUUUCUUCUUUCCUCUGACCACCCUCGACUACCG